CUUGGUCAUUUAGAGGAAGUAAAAGUCGUAACAAGGUUUCCGUAGGUGAACCUGCGGAAGGAUCAUUACCGAGUGUAGGGUUCCUAGCGAGCCCAACCUCCCACCCGUGUUUACUGUACCUUAGUUGCUUCGGCGGGCCCGCCAUUCAUGGCCGCCGGGGGCUCUCAGCCCCGGGCCCGCGCCCGCCGGAGACACCACGAACUCUGUCUGAUCUAGUGAAGCCUGAGUUGAUUGUAUCGCAAUCAGUUAAAACUUUCAACAAUGGAUCUCUUGGUUCCGGCAUCGAUGAAGAACGCAGCGAAAUGCGAUAACUAGUGUGAACUGCAGAAUUCCGUGAAUCAUCGAGUCUUUGAACGCACAUUGCGCCCCCUGGUAUUCCGGGGGGCAUGCCUGUCCGAGCGUCAUUGCUGCCCAUCAAGCACGGCUUGUGUGUUGGGUCGUCGUCCCCUCUCCGGGGGGGACGGGCCCCAAAGGCAGCGGCGGCACCGCGUCCGAUCCUCGAGCGUAUGGGGCUUUGUCACCCGCUCUGUAGGCCCGGCCGGCGCUUGCCGAACGCAAAUCAAUCUUUUCCAGGUUGACCUCGGAUCAGGUAGGGAUACCCGCUGAACUUAAGCAUAUCAAUAAGCGGAGGAAAAGAAACCAACCGGGAUUGCCUCAGUAACGGCGAGUGAAGCGGCAAGAGCUCAAAUUUGAAAGCUGGCUCCUUCGGGGUCCGCAUUGUAAUUUGCAGAGGAUGCUUCGGGUGCGGCCCCUGUCUAAGUGCCCUGGAACGGGCCGUCAGAGAGGGUGAGAAUCCCGUCUGGGAUGGGGUGUCCGCGUCCGUGUGAAGCUCCUUCGACGAGUCGAGUUGUUUGGGAAU
rnacentral:sRNA from 1 species